rnacentral:misc_RNA from 1 species
GUAGGUGAACCUGCGGAAGGAUCAUUACCGAGAGAGGAGUUUCGCGCUCCGGGGGUCUUCGACCCCCAAACUCUUCACCCUAUGUCUAUCUACCUUUGUUGCUUUGGCGGGUCCCGGGGUCAACCUUGCAUCCAAGCCUUGUGGCCAAAGGGAUGAGCGCCCGCCAGAGGCUUUCGAAUAAAUCUUUUCAUACAGUGGGAUGUCGGGCUUAGAGGGAUAAUUCAUAAAAACUUUCAACAACGGAUCUCUUGGUUCUG